AGAGUUUGAUCCUGGCUCAGGACGAACGCUGGCGGCGUGCCUAACACAUGCAAGUCGAACGGAGAUAUUAAGGAAGCUUGCGAAUUAAUAUCUUAGUGGCGGACGGGUGAGUAACGCGUGGGUAAUCUGCCCAUAAGUGGGGAACAACAGUUGGAAACGACUGCUAAUACCGCAUAAUCUGCGCAAGCAGGAAAGGUGGCCUCUGAAUAUGCUGCCGCUUAUGGAUGAGCCCGCGUCUGAUUAGCUAGUUGGUGGGGUAAAGGCCUACCAAGGCGGCGAUCAGUAGCCGGCCUGAGAGGGUGAACGGCCACACUGGGACUGAGACACGGCCCAGACUCCUACGGGAGGCAGCAGUGGGGAAUAUUGCGCAAUGGGGGAAACCCUGACGCAGCGACGCCGCGUGAGCGAUGAAGGCCUUAGGGUUGUAAAGCUCUGUUUUAGGGGACGAAUGUCUAGAUCAGUAAUAUGGGUUUAGAAUGACGGUACCCUAAGAGGAAGCCCCGGCUAACUACGUGCCAGCAGCCGCGGUAAGACGUAGGGGGCGAGCGUUGUCCGGAAUUACUGGGCGUAAAGAGCACGUAGGCGGGAACUUAAGUCAGGUGUGAAAGACCGAGGCUCAACCUCGGGGUGGCACUUGAAACUGGGUUUCUUGAGGGCAGGAGAGGGCAGUAGAAUUCCUGGUGUAGCGGUGAAAUGCGUAGAAAUCAGGAGGAAUACCAGUGGCGAAGGCGACUGCCUGGACUGACCCUGACGCUGAGGUGCGAAAGCGUGGGUAGCAAACAGGAUUAGAUACCCUGGUAGUCCACGCCGUAAACGAUGGAUACUAGGU
rnacentral:rRNA from 1 species